UACGUAGGGUGCAAGCGUUGUCCGGAAUUAUUGGGCGUAAAGAGCUCGUAGGCGGUUUGUCGCGUCGAAUGUGAAAACCCGGGGCUCAACCCCGGGCCUGCAUUCGAUACGGGCAGACUAGAGUUCGGUAGGGGAGUCUGGAAUUCCUGGUGUAGCGGUGAAAUGCGCAGAGUAUCGGGAAGAACACCCGUGGCGAAGGCGGCUCUCUGGGACGGUACUGACGCUGAGACGCGAAAAGCGUGGGGGAG
rnacentral:rRNA from 1 species